UACGUAGGGGGCAAGCGUUUGUCCGGAUUUAUUGGGCGUAAAGAGCGUGUAGGCGGCUUUACAGGUCCGUUGUGAAAACUCGAGGCUCAACCUCGAGACGCCGGUGGAAACCGUAAAGCUAGAGUCCGGAAGAGGAGAGUGGAACUCCUGGUGUAGCGGUGAAAUGCGCAGAUAUCAGGAAGAACACCCGUGGCGAAGGCGGCUCCUCUGGGACGGUACUGACGGCUGAGACGCGAAAGCGUGGGGAGCGAACAGG
rnacentral:rRNA from 1 species